UACCCUUGACAUGCUAGGAAGCUCGCAGAAAUGUGAGUGUGCCCGAAAGGGAACCUAGACACAGGUGCUGCAUGGCUGUCGUCAGCUCGUGUCGUGAGAUGUUGGGUUAAGUCCCGCAACGAGCGCAACCCUUGUCAUUAGUUGCUACAUUCAGUUGGGCACUCUAAUGAGACUGCCGGUGACAAACCGGAGGAAGGUGGGGAUGACGUGCCUUACAGCGUAC
rnacentral:misc_RNA from 1 species